UGACCAAGGACUUUAAUUGGAGGCGGCUCCCCCCCACGGUGGCUUUUUCAGAAGCUGGAGUGACUCUUGGUGGUGGCACAGGGAUGGCUCAGACGUCUUCUCCUCCUGCAGGGGAGUUUCUGAAUCAGUCUUCAUGACUCUUGUCCACUGCCCUCUUCCUCAUGGAAGCCCAGCAGCUGUGCAGCCGCAGGGACCACGUGGGUGCCGCCGGCUAGAAUGCUCAUGGCCUCCUAAGGAUGCACGCCUUGAGCAUCAUGCGGUUGUCAUAGGGGAGGCGUGGAUGUCUUUUUGGUACAGCACUGUGGAGAGAAUUUGUGUUCAGAUCUGAAAGAACAGAGGAAUAAACUUAUCCUGGGUAAAGGCUUUGAGUGAUGCGCGUAUAACCUAUCUUGGCCAUACUCCACUCAGAGACUCCUCAAAUCAUUAAUCUCUUUAAAAAUAAAAGUUUGCUUGUAUGAGCUAAGAAUGAUCUCGAGCUGGGUGAAGCAAUGGAGAUUUUAGAGUUUACUCAUUACCUCAGCGUGGCCCAGCUGAUCCUUAUACACAUCCACAGAUAUCAUUUGUUGAAUGUCUUUUUUUUUGUUUUGAGGUGGAGUCUCGCUCUGUCGCUCAGGCUGGAGUGCAGUGGCGCGAUCUCGGCUCACUGCAAGCUCCGCCUCCUCGGUUCACUCCAUUCUCCUGCCUCAGCCUCCUGAGUAGCUGGGACUACAGGCGCCCACCACCAUGCCCCGCUAAUUUUUUGUAUUUUUAGUAGAGACGGGGUUUCACCGUGUUAGCCAGGAUGGUCUCGAUCUCCUGACCUCGUGAUCUGCCCGCCUCAGUCUCCCAAAGUGCUGGGAUUACAGGCGUGAGCCACCGUGCCCGGCCUUGUUGAAUGUCUUCUUUGUGUGGGGCCAUAUGCAUUCACUUACACACGGUGCCUGCCUUCAUCCUCCUAACAGCCUGCACAGUGGGCAAUAUAUUAUCGUUAUCCUCAUUUUGGAGAGAAGGAUGCUGAGGCUUAGAGAGGGAGGGUCGGCGACAUGCCCAAACUCAGUAAGCAGCAGAGGCAGAGUUUAAACUACCAUCUAAUAAAGUACCACAAACUCAGUGAGAAAUUAAAUAAAUCAACAAAUGGCCAUGGAGGACUAAAGCCAGUGAUUUCAACGAAUAUCUACCACCUAAUAACUAAUCUCUAAUAACUGAUAGAGUCUUUAGACUGUGUUGUUCCAGGCUUGAGUAACUACGCCCUUUCCACACUCCCAGAAGGCUGAAAGAAGUCUGACUAUGUCCCAGCAGGAGGUGGCCGGGGAGGCCGAGGCGCAGAGAAUCAUUCAGGUGUUCCUGACACUAUCACACACCCACGUCUGGAACCUACUGAAGGACCGUGGAUGAUGCUGUUCGAACAUUCUUGGAUUGUGGAAGCCAACAGUGGUGGAAGACCCCUCGCUGGUCUUGCGGCAACAACAGAAGAUCUUGGACCCCAUGUUUUGGUGCGCGGUGGGAGGAGGAAAGGGCACUGGGGCUCCUGGCUCUGCAGCUCCAAUCCCAGAAACCCAUUGUUAUUUAAGCGCUGGGUCAUAGUGGGCCCUUCCCCUCUCUCUGACCUGCUGUAGCUCCCUGUGGCCAGCAGUUCCAGGCCCACCUGCCUGGGCCCACCACUCUGAGGGCUCUGGCCAUCUGCUGUUGCUCCCCUUUCUCUGUGGCCAAAGCCCCACUCUGGAAAUUUCCAUCAUCGGUGGUCGUGUGUCGAUCACAGCACACUGGGUUCACUCCAUGGCCUCAUCCUUGGGUAGUGAGUUCCCACCCGUCCAGUGCUCCUCUCCAGCCUCAGUCACCAGCAUCUCCUACUUGGAUUAUUGCAACGGCUCCUAAGCAUCAGCAUUAAGCACCAACACAGAUGAAUCCUCCUCCUACAGACAUUAGAUCAUGUCACACCUCUGCCCAGACCUCCCAGUGGCUUCCAGUAUCAUGUUGAAUAAAAGAAAAGUCUUUCCCUGGGCCUGUCUUGAAAAAACUCAUAAUCUAACCAUUUAUCCACUUGUCCCUCACUGUCUCCUGCUACUUUACCCUUCACCCCUUUCCCGCCACACCAAACACACCACUGUUUGCAUUUCUGCUGGAACGCUCUUCCCCUAGAAAUCCACAAGACUCAUUCUCUCACUUGUUUCAAGCCUUUGCUUAAAGAACACUUCAUCUUUUUUUUUUUUUUUUUGAAUGGAGUAUCACUCUAUUGCCCAGGCUGGAGGGCAGUGGGGCGAUCUCAGCUCACUAACCUCUGCCUUUGGGGUUCAGGCGAUUCUUAUUCCUUAGCCUCCUGAGUAGCUGGGAUUACAGGUGCGCACCACCAUGCCCGGCUAAUUUUUGUGUUUUUAGUAGAGACGGGGUUUCACCAUGUUGGCCAGGCUGGUCUCAAACUCCUGACCUCAGGAAAUCUGCCUGCCUCGGCCUCCCAAGUUGCAAGGAUUACAGGCGUGAGCCACCAUGCCUGGCCAUGAACACUUUUUCUAGUGAGGCCUUCUCUGGCCUAUUUACUCUAUUUAAUUCUCUCUGUUUAUUCCCUCUGUUUAAGCCUCCUCCCUGCUCCCAGCACUCUCUAUUUCCCUUCCCCACCUCAUGCUUCUCUGCAGCCCUUGUCAUGUUCAGAAGUAGCCUAGAAUUUAUUUAUGAGCACGUACUCACUUUCCCAUUAGUAAACCCAGGAAGGCAGGGAGUCUCCUGUGUUCACUGCUGGGUCCCCAGUGCAGGGUGUAGGACAGGUGGUUAACAGCAUUUAUGGCAUGGUUGGAUGAACCUGUAUGUAUCUCACUUUGGUCUAGGGUCCAAGCAGGUGCUGUCACCGGGGAGCAGCAAGGAAUGUCACAACAAGUAAGACACCACCUGCCUCAUCCACCUGCCAAGCUGAUGGAUGGCUUUAUGGAUGACUUAUAGGGUUGCUUUUGGCUGCCUUCUGAUGGGACCACCUCUCUUCUCCACCCUCUCCAUCCCAAACUUGCUUUUCCUCCUCUCAUGUUUCCUAUUUUGGGGACAGGUACCACUAUUCAUUUUGUGUCUGCAGCUAGAAAUGGGGCACCCCUUACCUCCCCUCCGCUCACAUUCAUCAAGGCCUUUUGAAUCUAUCCCAUAAAUAUCUCCAUUGUCAGCCACCCUCCGUUGCCAUUGCCCUCACCACUAGCGCCUCCUGCCUUUGGAUCCUGACCACUGCUUUCCCACUAGCCUCUCUGGUGGCUCAUCUGCAACCAGAAGAUCUGCCCCUGGUGCAAAUCCUGUUAGGUCACUCCUCCUCUGCCUUAACCCCUCAGUGGCUCCCCUGUUCUGCUGCUCGAACUUGUCUGAGGAUCUGCCCCUGUCGACUUUGCCAGCUCCGUUCAUUCCAACUCAGUCACUACUCUUCGGCCAUAGGAGCUGCUGGCUGUGCUCCAGACUUUUUCUUACUGUUCCAUCCCUGUGCCUCUGCACAAGCUGAAACCUGCCCCUCCAUGUCCUCUCCUCAUCACACUUGAAGACAGCUCAGGUGUCACUUCCUUCAAGAAGCCAUUCCUUUUUUUUUUUUUUUUUUUGAGACAGAGUCUCACUGUAUCACCCAGGCUGGAGUGCAGUGGUGCGAUCUUGGCUCACUUCAACCAUCCUCCACCCUUUGGGCUUAAGCGAUUCUUUUGCCUCAGCCUCCUGAGUAGCUGGGAUUAUAGGUGCACACCAUCACACCCAGCUAAUUUUUGUAUUUUUAGUAGAGACAGAGUUGUGCCAUGUUGGUCAGGCUGGUCUUGAAUUCCCGAUCUCAAGUGAUCUGCCCGCCUCUGUCUCCCAAGUUGCUGGGGUUACAGGUGUGAGCCACCAUACCCAGCCAGGAAGCCAUCUCUUAAACCUGGGAUGAAUUGAGGCAUUUCCUUUAUGGUUCCCUUGUCCCCUGGGCUUCCCUGUGUCCUGGACCUGACUGUCAUUCCAGUGUCUGCCUAAACCACAGUGGAUGCUCAGUAAUAUUUGUUGAAUGGACUGUAUUUUCACUGCCUGUUUAUUUGCCUACAAAAAAUCAGUGAUUAAAAAAAUUUGUUCAGCAUAUACUUUUUGAGGACCUACUGGUGCCAAGCACUGACUGUGGUGCUGGGGAUACUGCCGUGGACAAGAGCAACAGAGCCUCACUCUCGAGGAGGCAGGGGUGGGUCCAGCCCACCUUCGGGUCCCAGGAUGCAGCACCGGGCUGUGUGCAGAACGCGUAUGCUCUCCAUACUGAUUGAAUAAAUACAGGAACAUUGUCUGACUGUUGGACAAUGGUACGCUCAAUCCUUCACCCUGUUCUCCCUUCCAUGAACAGGCUUUUUUUUUUCUUUAAUGUCAGAAAGUUAUGGGAAUAGAAACAGAACACUGACAUUCAUUGAGCAUUUGGGCAGGUCCUUUGACAUUGCUGAGCUCAUUUCAUUUUCCUCUCCACCUUGCAAGGCAGGACUUUGUCUGAUUUUCCAGAUGGAGGGAAUUGAGCCUAAGAAAGGUGACUUGCUCAGCUGUGGCAGCCAAGAGGAACAGCUGGGAUUUUAAUGUAGUUUUAUCUGAAGCCAGAUUUUAUUCCGUCUAUACAAUUCCAGAAUGAGAUGUUCAGAACCACCUUGAUCUCCAAGAGUUGAUGGUAAGUGGUUUUUAAAUGGAAAGGCUCCAUCUGAAGCCUGGCAGAACAGCAUAACAGUUAAGAGCACACUCCUUUUUUACUUAGAUGGACUUCAGUUCUUAAUUCCUGUUGCACCUUGCUGUGUAAUUUCGGGCCGUUUAGCUUCCUUGAACCUCAGUUUUCCAGUCUGUGCAGUGGUAUGGUGAAACCUACCCGCAGAAUGCCGUUGUAAGGAUUUGGUGACAUAAAGAUGUCAAGUGCUUUGCAGGGUAUGCGGUACACAGUAGGCGUUUAAUAUCACUGAGAUGCUGGCUGGGACAGAGUAGGGGUGGGUGUGGUGUUUCUUGCAUUACCAGUGUCCGCCUCUAGAGGGAAGCAGGAGCCAAAGAAAAGGGCCCUUGGGCUGUCCCCACUGGGCUGUGAGUUUCAGGUCUCUAGGGACCCCACAGCACCUUGAUCAGAAUAAGAAAGAUCAAUGAAGUCAAACAGGAAGUCGUCUGGAGCUAGGGGAGCCCUCAGGAGUCUUUCAGCACAGUGGGGGAGACUGAGACCCAGAGACAGAGAAACAGUGGGGUCAAGGCAAAUAAGGGGUGCUUCUUGUAGCAAAGUGAAUAGGUGUCCAGGAGUGGCGGGGACAUUUUCUGUUUUAGUACAGAAAAAUUACGCCCUCUUACCCUUAGGUCUAACCUAUGAGUCUCAUUCACCUGCAGCUGGCAGAGUGGACAGGAGGCUGUCUGUGAUGUCACAGAGUGGGGGAACCGGGGAAUGUUGGGGACAGUGGGGUUUGGACUGAACCACAAAGGCAG
rnacentral:lncRNA from 1 species